rnacentral:rRNA from 1 species
AGUGGACGCUGGCGGUAGGCCUAACACAUGCAAGUCGAACGGCGGCACAGUAAGAGCUUGCUCUUACGGGUGGCGAGUGGCGGACGGGUGAGGAAUACAUCGGAAUCUACUUUUUCGUGGGGGAUAACGUAGGGAAACUUACGCUAAUACCGCAUACGACCUACGGGUGAAAGCAGGGGAUCUUCGGACCUUGCGCGAUUGAAUGAGCCGAUGUCGGAUUAGCUAGUUGGCGGGGUAAAGGCCCACCAAGGCGACGAUCCGUAGCUGGUCUGAGAGGAUGAUCAGCCACACUGGAACUGAGACACGGUCCAGACUCCUACGGGAGGCAGCAGUGGGGAAUAUUGGACAAUGGGCGCAAGCCUGAUCCAGCCAUACCGCGUGGGUGAAGAAGGCCUUCGGGUUGUAAAGCCCUUUUGUUGGGAAAGAAAAGCAGCAGGUUAAUACCCCGCUGUUCUGACGGUACCCAAAGAAUAAGCACCGGCUAACUUCGUG